rnacentral:rRNA from 1 species
AACGCGAAGAACCUUACCCACCUUUGACAUGGCAGGAAGUUUCCAGAGAUGGAUUCGUGCUCGAAAGAGAACCUGCACACAGGUGCUGCAUGGCUGUCGUCAGCUCGUGUCGUGAGAUGUUGGGUUAAGUCCCGCAACGAGCGCAACCCUUGUCAUUAGUUGCUACAUUUAGUUGGGCACUCUAAUGAGACUGCCGGUGACAAACCGGAGGAAGGUGGGGAUGACGUCAAGUCCUCAUGGCCCUUAUAGGUGGGGCUACACACGUCAUACAAUGGCUGGUACAGAGGGUUGCCAACCCGCGAGGGGGAGCUAAUCCCAUAAAACCAGUCGUAGUCCGGAUCGCAGUCUGCAACUCGACUGCGUGAAGUCGGAAUCGCUAGUAAUCGCGGAUCAACAUGCCGCGGUGAAUACGUUCCCGGGCCUUGUACACACCG